UACGAAGGGGGCUAGCGUUGUUCGGAAUUACUGGGCGUAAAGCGCACGUAGGCGGAUAUUUAAGUGAGGGGUGAAAUCCCAGGGCUCAACCCUGGAACUGCCUCUCAUACUGGGUAUCUCGAGUUCGAGAGAGGUGAGUGGAAUUGCGAGUGUAGAGGUGAAAUUCGUAGAUAUUCGCAGGAACACCAGUGGCGAAGGCAGCAGACUGGGCGUUUCCUGACGCUGAGGCGCGAAAGCGUGGGUAGCAAACAGG
rnacentral:rRNA from 1 species